rnacentral:tRNA from 1 species
CGCGGAAUGGAGCAGUUGGUAGCUCGCUUGGCUCAUACCCAAGAGGUCGGUGGUUCGAGUCCACCUUCCGCAA